GUAAGGAGGAUGGAGAGGAGAGAGAACGGGAGGAGAGGGGUGUGAAAGGGGUAGUUGAACUGUGGGCUGAACUGUGGACCAAAUCGAAGCCCAUGAUUUAUAUGGGCUGAACUGUGGCCCCAUCAACUAUAUGGGCCGAAAUGUAUCCCAUCAUUUUUAUGGGCCGAAACUAAGUCCAAAUGAAAAAGUUUACUACGACCACGAAGUCCUCCUUCCUCCCCUUCGCCUCCAAAGGCUCAAAGGCUCCGCGACGAAAGGCGAGGCGACCGCCGCUGCCGCCGCCCGCCGCCGCAGUCCUCGCCGCCGCCGGAACCGACCGUACGGCGUCCGCUGCAUUCCGAGUCUCCGUAGUCUUCGCGCCGCCUGAUGAAAAUUGUCUUGAGAUACAAGGAUCGAAUGCGAGUGGCCUGCCUUUCCCCAGUCACAGACCAGCAUGACACCUCUGUCAAGCGUAGCUAUUAUGGUCAUCUAUUUAUAUCUGAUUCAAAGGUUGGCUGACCAAUUUCAUUAAGAUUGGGAAGAAAGGCCUCACUGGAUGUUCAGAUACUAGAAUGUGGCUAUUGGGUGUUCAGUCAACAUUUGCAGGCCUGCCUUCAUGCAGAAACAAAAGGGGGAUCAUCAGUAUCUGUACCUUGUUGACUUGAUGAAGGAUGUUGCCCGGGGAUGAUUUCCCAAAGGCGUCGACCAUCUGCCCGAAGAUGAUGGUCAUGAUUACUUGUGACAUGCCGCUUGCAAGUGAUGCUAUGGUGCCAACCAGCAUCAACGCCACAUCUGUGCUGUCCGCAUACUUGAACAGAUAACUUGAACAGCCCAUGGCAGAAAUCAUGGCGAUAUCGACAGGAAUCUGAGGAUCCAUGUGUCUUUAAAGUCGUAUCCUCUGCUUCCAUCAGAUAGCUUUCACUUGAUCUGGGCAGGUAGUCUCUUAUCUAAAUGAAAAAUAAACUGCAAGCAGAUGCAGCCAGGGUGACCGCCCAAUUUUUAAAUGAGACAAUGCAGUCUGAUUGAAGGAUCUAUGUUCGGUUCCGUUAAGCAUCUCAUCUAUUGUGUCUUCUUCCUUUUGUUUCACGUGUGAAGGUGAUGUUUUAUCGGGAGUCUGUGUAGGAAUGUUUUUUAAUCUGUUGCUUUCAUGGGAAAAUCCAUGAUCAGCUGCCCAAAUUCGUUUUGUUUUACAACAUUACUCACAAACGAUUGGAAGCUACUAUUGCAGAUUGUCACAUCAGGUGUGUUGUGCCGGCGUCAAGAUGUUCCUCCUCUUGGGCUUUUGUCAGAAGCAAGGGCCAAGGGGUCACUCUGGAUUCUGCUGCAUGAUGCAGCAGCUGUUCAUGGAGUUCCAGCCUUCCAGGAGAUGGUGAUGGUCCUCGCGUUUAGAUUUCUUGCACCCAUUUCCAUCUCUAGUUGGAGAGAGGAUGAGGAAGGCGGCGGCGAUGCAGGGAUUAUGCUGCUGAUCAGUGGACCUUCAAUCGUAGAUUCACCACCUCAGAACAAUUUGGAUGGAAGAGUUUCAAAUUUUGUGCAGCAUUACGAACUGCAAAGUUGUUGCGUGACUUGAUUUUGUUGCCCUAUAGUCUGAUGAUGUACUUGCCAUUUGAAACGGCCAGAUUCUCGCUAAAGAUGCUCUGGCUCCUUUAUAAUUAGCAGAUGGGAAUUGAAACACUACUUGCAAAUUUUGCAAGGUUGUUACUACCUCAAA